rnacentral:rRNA from 1 species
AAUGCGAUAAGUAGUGUGAAUUGCAGAAUUCAGUGAAUCAUCGAAUCUUUGAACGCACAUUGCGCCCCUUGGUAUUCCAUGGGGCAUGCCUGUUCGAGCGUCAUUUGUACCUUCAAGCUUUGCUUGGUGUUGGGUGUUUGUCUCGCCUUUGCGUGUA